rnacentral:rRNA from 1 species
UACGUAGGGUGCGAGCGUUGUCCGGAAUUAUUGGGCGUAAAGAGCUCGUAGGCGGUGUGUCACGUCGGCCGUGAAAACCUGGGGCUUAACUCUGGGCGUGCGGUCGAUACGGGCAUCACUAGAGUUCGGCAGGGGAGACUGGAAUUCCUGGUGUAGCGGUGAAAUGCGCAGAUAUCAGGAGGAACACCAGCGGCGAAGGCGGCGCUCUGGGCCGGUACUGACACUGAGGAGCGAAAGCGUGGGUAGCAAACGGG